rfam:Parcubacteria (Falkowbacteria) bacterium GW2011_GWF2_43_32 TV95_C0001, whole genome shotgun sequence.
GGUCCAGUGGUGGAACUGGUAUACACGCAGCACUUAAAAUGCUGUGCCCAAAAGGCGUGUGGGUUCGAGUCCCACCUGGACCA